rnacentral:lncRNA from 1 species
CCAUAUUAUGCUAUUUUGCAACUAAUUUCUCAUUCCAAGUAUUGUGAUCUUCAUGAAUCAGGUGGCAGAUUGGCAUUGAGCGUCUUGAUUCAUUUUCCAAUGCAUGCAUCACAACUCCAUUCAACAAUGAAUUAAGGGGUUCAGUACUCUAUCUAUGUGGCCAAUUGAUGAUUUCCAAGUAAUGAUGAGUAACAUGAUUCAUUCAAUCUUGUCGUUCUUCCCAAAAGUUCAAGAGCAAUGUUGCUUAUCAUUAACUCUGAUCAUCAUUGAUGAAUGUAAAUACCUGCAUGUAAAGGGUCAACUCAACCACAUGCGAGGUAAAAUUGGCAAUAUCAACAACCAUAUUCAAUUAAUGCUCAACCGAAAACUCCCUCAAGAUUUAGGCGGUGGUCUCCAGAGCAUAAAGGAGGUGUAUGGAUAACCAUGAAUUAUAUUAAACAACUUGUGCAUUAAUUAUUUGCAUGUGAAAACUAAGGAGUGCAAAGUAAUUGUUCAAACGUCGUAGUGUUGGUCCUCACCCUAUAACCUAAGUCGCAUGUUGGUCUCAACCCUUGCAAAGGAACACUUUGGUUCUCAGAUUUGCUCGUGAAAGAAAGGAAAGAGAGAGAAAAGAUCAGUCCAAUCAAAAUAGCAAUUUAGCGCCACGGAAUGAAUCAAGGAACUAAUGACGUUUUCAAUACCGACAGGAACUCCCAAAGAAAUCAAUUGUUGCAACUUCAUUACCCAUUUGGUUCUUUAUAAUUAGAGGAAUUGGGACACAUUGAUAUAGCAUAUCGAUAUAAGGAAAAUAAGAACCCGAUGGCUCAAGUCAAGUGUUCUUGCACUACUGGUCCCGAAGGACGAUAUCUAUGCUUACACUAAAUAGCUUCUAACCCAUAAAUAAUUUAUACAUGUUUAUUAUUAUGGGAUUGACUUGAAAAUUUGUCAAGGGGAUGCUAAAUUAGCCAAUGACAUUGUGAGGUGGUGGGCAUGGGCGGAUCCAGGGACAGGCUGG